AUACGUAGGGAGCGAGCGUUGUCCGGAAUUACUGGGCGUAAAGGGCGCGUAGGCGGCGCUUCAAGUCGUCUGUCAAAUGGGAGGGCUUAACCCUUUUUCGCAGACGAAACUGGAGAGCUUGAGAAGCAGAGAGGCAAACAGAAUUCCUGGUGGAGCGGUGCAAUGCGUAGAUAUCAGGAAGAAUACCAGUGGCGAAGGCGGUUUGCUGGCUGCAUACUGACGCUGAAGCGCGAAAGCCAGGGGAGCAAACGGGAUUAGAUACCCCGGUAGUCCUGGCAGUAAACGAUGUAUGCUGGGUGUGAGACUAGCGAUAGUUUCGUGCCGAAGUUAACGCGAUAAGCAUACCGCCUGGGGAGUACGGUCGCAAGAUUGAAACUCAAAUGAAUUGGCGGGG
rnacentral:rRNA from 1 species